rnacentral:rRNA from 1 species
GACGAACGCUGGCGGCGUGCUUAACACAUGCAAGUCGAACGGAAAGGCCCUGCUUUUGUGGGGUGCUCGAGUGGCGAACGGGUGAGUAACACGUGGGUAACCUGCCCUUGACUCUGGGAUAACUUCAGGAAACUGGGGCUAAUACCGGAUAGGAGCUCCUGCUGCAUGGUGGGGGUUGGAAAGUUUCUGCGGUUGGGGAUGGACUCGCGGCUUAUCAGCUUGUUGGUGGGGUAGUGGCUUACCAAGGCUUUGACGGGUAGCCGGCCUGAGAGGGUGACCGGCCACAUUGGGACUGAGAUACGGCCCAGACUCCUGCGGGAGGCAGCAGUGAGGAAUAUUGCACAAUGGGCGGAAGCCUGAUGCAGCAACGCCGCGUGCGGGAUGACGGCCUUCGGGUUGUAAACCGCUUUCGCCUGGGACGAAGCGUGAGUGACGGUAAUGGGUAAAGAAGCACCGGCUAACUACGUG